UAUGUACUCCCUCCGUUCCAUAAUACAUGCCUUCCAUUUGUCAAAGUAUAGAUGUAUCUAGACAUGUUUUAUUAUAUAUUUUUGGACAAAUGGAAGUCAAGUAUUUUGGAACGGAGGGAGUACAUG
rnacentral:pre_miRNA from 1 species